AAUACAUAAAGUCAAUUAUUAGCCUUCGAUUGCUUAGGAUGACUACUCACUCUUUAGUGGUAUUUU
rnacentral:ncRNA from 1 species